ensembl:miRNA
UGUCUCCAGGGCAACCGUGGCUUUAGAUUGUUACUGUGGUUGUGUGUUGGUAACAGUCUACAGCCAUGGUCGCUUGGGCUAGACACAC